UACGAAGGGGGCUAGCGUUGCUCGGAAUCACUGGGCGUAAAGCGCACGUAGGCGGAUUGUUAAGUCAGGGGUGAAAUCCUGGAGCUCAACUCCAGAACUGCCUUUGAUACUGGCGAUCUCGAGUCCGGGAGAGGUGAGUGGAACUGCGAGUGUAGAGGUGAAAUUCGUAGAUAUUCGCAAGAACACCAGUGGCGAAGGCGGCUCACUGGCCCCGGUACUGACGCUGAGGUGCGAAAGCGUGGGGAGCAAACGGGAUUAAGAAACC
rnacentral:rRNA from 1 species